CACGUAGGGCGCAAGCGUUGUCCGGAAUUAUUGGGCGUAAAGAGCUCGUAGGCGGUCUGUUGCGUCUGCUGUGGAAACCCGGGGCUUAACCCCUGGCUUGCAGUGGAUACGGACAGACUAGAGGUAGGUAGGGGAGAAUGGAAUUCCCGGUGUAGCGGUGAAAUGCGCAGAUAUCAGGAGGAACACCGGUGGCGAAGGCGGGUCUCUGGGCAGUAACUGACGCUGAGGAGCGAAAGCGUGGGGAGCGAACAGG
rnacentral:rRNA from 1 species